rnacentral:lncRNA from 1 species
GUGCUUGAUAAGAAGCAGUGUGGACAACUCUAAAGGACACUGGAAGGGAAGAGGAAGGAAGUACAUUGGUUCUUCAGGAGGCGGGGGAUGCAAUGGACAGGAGAAGUAGCAGUGACAUGGUACCGUCUUGACUCUUGCAAACAAAAUCUACCCUGGUUACCACAAAUGCUUUUCUCCAUGCCUUUGCUUUUGAAAGUAUUAGCUACAAGGAUGAGUCUGGGAUCCCAAGUGGACACUGUGGUGAAAAGCAUGGCUGCUUCUGGAAAGAACUCAGAUGAAGAGAAGGAGGGCCCAUCCUAACUCAGAGUACCUCAUCACAAAUUGGAUUGCAGAGAACUCAAAUGAAGAGGACAAGCAAACUCAGGAAUGUGGAGCACCCAUCAUCUGCCAUGGUCAAGGAGAUAAUCUGUGGAGAGAGAGAGAAAACAGAUGGAGAGAGCUGCACACGCAGAGAUCCACGAGGCUCCUGAGAAUAAACAAGAAUCUCUUGGCUUCUCAAGAGCCUUCCAGACUUUCCUCCUUAUGUUUGGGAGUUUUCCUGACUGCCCUCCUUGACCUUGGUCAGCAAGGACACUUAUAAACUUGGCGGUGUGGGGUGUGUGUGUGUGUGUGUGUGUGUGUAGUGGGGAAGGUCAUGAGAUUUAAGCCAGUUUCUAUUAUUUUUUUUUUGUCUUUUGUCUUUUUAUGGCCACACCCAUGGCAUAUGGAGGUUCCCAGGCUAGGGGUCUAAUUGGAGCUGUAGCUGCUGGCCUACGCCACAGCCACAGCAACACGGGAUCUGAGCUGUGUCUGUGACCUACAGCACAGCUCACAGCAACACUGGAUGCUUAACCCACUGAGCAAGGCCAGGGAUUGAACCCGCAACUUCAUGGUUCCUAGUCGGAUUCAUUAACCAUUGAGCCACAAUGGGAACUCCUGAGUUUCUACUCUUCAUAUACAUAAAGUUCCUAAAGCAUAUUGGUAAUACUUUUCUAUUUUAAUUGAACUUUGGUAUUUACUCUAUCAUUUUCCAAUGGAUGUGGCAUCAACUUAACAUUCUCUAGCCUCUCCUUUCAUUAUUACCUGGCCCCUAAAUAACUUUUGCCCCCACUUCUUGUCCCUCUUCCUCCUUUUGGGGCUCCACCAUCUUUGCCUCUGCUCAGCUAUUUCUUCAACUUCAUCCUUAUUCCUAGAUGUUCUAGGCAAUCUCCUACUCAACUCAAAGCUCAACAAAAUAUCUCUUCCUCUGUAAUGUCUUUCUGAAUAAUUCAGGAAAGAUGAAUCAUUUUGCUGUUUAUAUUCACACAGUAUUUUAUUUGCCUUUAAUAUAUUAUGUUAUCAUUAGUGGUUAAAGUGUUUCCCUCAAGGGUAGAGACUGGGUAUCCCUCUCUAUUACUUAUCUUUUAUCACCAUUAUGUAGGACGGCACCAGGAGGGGAAUAAUAAGUGCUCAGAAAAAAAAAAUAUAUGUUUUGUAUGAAUGGACUCAGGAAAUAUCACAGCAAAUAUGUGUAUGUGAUGUUUUGUGAAUUCUAGAAAUAAAGUAUGUCAUCCAAGAGUGGUAUAAAUACAUAUAUAUUAUAAGAAUUCCAUAUAGCAUAAGGUACUAAGGAUAAUCAGCAAAUAUAGUGGUUAAUGAAAAAUACCACCAUUAAGGAAUACAUUAAAAUGAAGUUUUGUAAGAACCAAAAAUCAGACUAAAGUUUUCCUUCCUUUUUUUCUUAUAAAAGUAAAAUAUUGAAGAUAAACAGCAUAAAAGAUUAAUUUUUUGGACUAGACCUAUUUAUUUAAGAUAGAAGAAAGAUUCAUUGAUCAUACUAUUAAGAAAUAUGCAUAUUUUCAUGUGCAUGUGUGUAGUAAGGUUUUAAAAUACAAUGUACCCAUUAUUUUCCUCAAAUUCAGGCAAAAGUGUUCUUAAGGACUUACUUUCACUUGUUUUAUUAUUAGGAACAUAGUACAUUUGGUGAUUAUAUAUAGUUCCAUUAUUAAAAUAUAUUAUAUAAUACAUAAUAAAAUAAAAACAUACAGUGGUUUUAAUCAUUAGAUACGUAUUCUAGGAAAAAACUCAAUUCUAUUAAUGCUUUCUCGCUCUGCCUAUUCCUGGCAAGCAGGAACAUCACAGAACAUUCCACACUGGUAGCCAGGUGAUCUAGGCCUGGCCCAUCAGCCUACUUCAAUUUGCAACUCAGGCUUCUUCUUAACUCUUUCCUACUUAAGUCUGAAGGUUGUUGUGAAGAUAAAAUAGGAUAAUGCUCAUGCUAGUUCUUUGAAAAGUAUAAAGCACUAUAUAAAUGGAAGACGUUAUUGUAAAAGGGAGUUUAAAACUAUAGCAUAAAAAGACGUUAUAAAAAUAAAAUAAAAGUGACUCUAGUCACUUAUUUUUAUGAGGUACUUUUCUCUCUUUGGAAAAAUAUAAUUUACUAAUUCAAGAGAGAGCUAUUAAUUUCUCAGUCCUUCACAGCCAUUAAAGCAGGGAUGAUGACUUCAAUUCAGUUUACAAAUGGAGUGGGCAUACUGCAGGGGAAUGCUACUCUCAGGUUACAUAUAAAUGGAAUUAAAUUAAAUUAAUGAAAAGAGAAGAAAAGCAUGUGUAUAUAAACAACUAACUCAUCCCCUAUGAGGCCCAAUCAUUGUCUGAAAUGAGGCAUCAGUUAAAAUAUCUUCACUUUUGCACAUCUCUUUCCUGUACUUCUCCAGAUUUCAUUUGGAAAUUAUUUCUAAAAUAUUAUUAAUAAAAAUAAUAUCCGUAUGACACUUUGAACACUUCGAAUAAAAUUAUCAUCAGGUUUUAAAUUCAGUGGGGUAUAGUGAGCCUCUAUGUACCUGCAAUGAUAUGUCCAUGAGAGUACUUAACAAUUUUGUAUGUCUCCAGAAUUCAUAGGGCAAAUCACCCAAUGUCAGAAAAUCAUCUUGGUAAAUGCGGAAAACUGAACUCAUGGCCAUAGAUACUUUUAAUUAGAUAAGAAUUGUCUCUAUACUUUGAUUUUUGACUAUUAUAUCAAAUCUCUUUGGGCUUUUUAAUAAUUUCCAAAAUACAAUGAUAGAUCAAAAUGUAGAGUAUAAGAAAAGGAAAACAAUUUUUUAAACGGCAUGAAGCUUCAUUUGUUUGUUCUGUAAGUUAUCAUCUGAUGCAACCUUCCUGAUGAUUAGUGAUAAUCUGCUGCUGACAAUAAAUCUUGCUGGGUUAGAGAUGAGGGAUAUCUCUGAAUGACCUUAGGGAAAUCUAUGAACAUUUCUAAGACCCAGGUUCUUUACUGGCAGAAUGAAGGAAUUGAUACUUAAUUUUCAAGCUCUUUGUAAUUCUUGAGAGGGUCAAUAGUUAAAAAUCAAAUGACAUAAAUGUUCAUAAAUGUAGUUAUUAUUAAUAUGCCUUGACAUUGUAUAAAUAUAUGUGAAAUGGCAUAUUCCUUGUGGGGGGCAGACGGGGCAUAACAUAGGCUCUCUAUACAUAGCAGUCUUUGUCAUGUUUUUAUUGAUAAUUUGUAUGAAGAUAAAGAAUUCAUUAAUAGAAUCUGCUAAUGGCAAAAAAAUAAGAGUAUCAGAAAUGAGAUACCUGAAUCGAUUCCCCAAAUGAAUUCAAAUUAAGGAGAUGAAACUUACAAAGUUGUAGGGCUCUAUAUUUAAGUUUCAAAAUCCAAAUUCUGAGAAAUAGGUUAGAGAAAACUGUGGCUUAGCAGUAGUAAGUCUAUCUAUGUCAUUAGUCUGUUUACUUUUCUAUCUAUAAGCUAAAAGAGAGACACACUUAAGGUCUUAAGUUAUGAGUAAGCAUUAUUUAGAUCAUUGGAAAUAUGUGGUUACAAAGGUACUAAGAUUUGGGCAGAACACAAUGAAGUAUUUAUAUUUGCAAUAGUCCCAUUGUACCCAAAACUGAUCAGACAAAUCUGGGAAUAUUUUGUACAAUUCUGGGUACCAGGUUUUUGGAAGAAAAGAGACAAAUUAGAAUAUUAGACAAGAGUAAGAACAUCAGUAACAAAUGUCAUUAAAUAUGGAUCAAAUCUGUGGUAAGCUUUAAUGAAGAUUACAGCCCACUGUGGAUGGUAUCACUCUUACCUCAGGUUAGGAGAUACAAAUAACAUCCUCAUAACCAUAUGAAGAAGAAGUACUGGUACAGGAUUUGAGUCUAGAAGUCUAAACUAACUCCAGAACUGAUGCUGUUAGUUUCACACCAUUCUUAUUCUUUUUGUAUGUGACAUAUAUUAUAGAGAUUCACCUGUGAGGGUAGCUGAGAAAUGAGGGGCUUUUUAGCUUAGAAUAGAAAAGACACAGGGGAAAAGCUGACAGGCACCAUCAAAUUUGUGAAGGUCUUUUAAGGUCAAUGGGAUGAAACUGCAGAUAGAUUACUGUUAAAUAAAAGUGGCCAGUCACAGGUGAGAGAGAGAGAGAAAAUUUCUAUCACAGUGGAGAAAUAGCAUCAGGUCUGCAGCAUAAUUUAAAGAUUAUCAGCCUGGGCUUUUGCAUCAAGUGACACACUAUAUCUACUAUAUUAUAAUUUACUAGCCUUGCAAUCUUGUCAAGAGAUUUUAAGUAUUUAAGCCAAUUUUUCUUCUCUAAAAUAAGUAAAAUACUAUAUGUCUGAGAUAAUUACACACAAAAUUCCCUCAAAUCAUGAAAAGUUCAAUAAGUAUUAAUCCAACAGUAGCAUUUGAAUUUGAAAGUCCAUAAUAAAUGAGAGAUUUUAUUACACC